UCUACACUGUUGGGGACAAUGGAUAUUUUUAUAGCAGAGAGUUAGGAAGUUCAAUUCCUGGAGGAGAGUACGAGUGGCGACUUUAGGCCAGUGGAGAGCGAUCGAUCCUAACCGAUCCUAAGAGAAGAACCACGUAAACGUUGUAAACUUUCCAAGGUAUUGAUUAGAAUGGUGCCUGUCCAUCCAAAAGAAGCUAAGGGAGGAUAUAAAUUAUCUGACUCACUGCAAAUAUCUUGCCUGGACCAAUCAAAUUGCGGAAUCAUUACGUAAUGCUUUACAGAUUUCUCCCCCUCCUUAGGCUUAGCCUCGAAUCCAGGCCGAUUAUUUUAUUCUUAAUCGGCCUGGUCUCGAGGCUAGCCCCUUUUCUUUCUUUAUAACCUCUACAUAUUGGGACACACAGAACAGUACUGUAGUAUGAGUGAUAGGCAAUUCUUGCAGGCACAGAGCAAACCAUACAAAUAAAGGGGUGCUAGAAGCUGAGACUGUUAGUGUCAUUGAUGUUCUUCAUGUUGGAGACACUCUAAACUACACAAUUCCAUGUUGCAGCUUUAUCACAGAGACAGGAGUGCCUGGGGUGCUUCUCACAGGGAUCUUGGAGACAGGAGUGCCUGGGGUGCUCCUCAUAGGGAUCCUGUCUCCAGGAUCAAGAGUGCUUCUCAACAGAGACAAGAUCAAAGUGCCUAAUUGCGCAUGCGCAUAUACUGUGCUAAUGCCCCACCUAUCCCCGUACUGGAGGUGGGACUUGCCAUUGAUGAUAAGAGCACAGUUCUAGUUCUGCAGAUUCUCAUUCAUCAUUCUCUCAGAUCGUCUCAAUGCCUCACUUGCUACCUGCUGUUAUAGUAGCUCUCUCCUUGGCGGGGAUGGCCCGCACUGACACUAUGAAAGGCUGCUCCCCUGUAUCUUCUAUGGUGUCAUAUGAAUACACUACAGGAGAAUAUGCAGGCUGCUCUGGACAGAUUGAGACUGCUAGCUGCUCUGGGGACUGCUACUCUGAAAUGGAACCAAGAGUCUACCAGAGGAAAGAGGAUGCCCCCCAGGGAGUAGACCUCACCCCCUUCAAGCACGACUGUCAGUGCUGCUCUAUCAGCAGCAAAAUAAAUAAAACUUUGCCCGUCGAUCUGACAUGUGAAGAUGGAUCAGUCAAACAGAAGGAAGAGGAUGUGCGCUUUGCUACAAAAUGUCUGUGCACUAGAUGUACACUUCUUCCAAGAUAGUUGAAUGCUGAACUAUGGACAACCAUUUCAUAUACUGCUAGCCUAUUAUGUUAUUAUUAUUCAAGAGAGAAAUUAUACCAUCCAUUUAUUGAUAUCAGCAUCUGUAACGUCAGUGUCAA